AAGCAAGAAACUAACAGUAUUAUGGUUUCGGCCCAUAACUAGGUGUAACCACCAGCACCCUUGCUUU
rnacentral:tRNA from 1 species